AAAACUAAUUCUUAUAAUGAUGCUUUAACUGGCUAAUUUCUAUUUAGCAGCCACAACUGAGCUGCUUGUUCUUAUAUGUUACGGAAAAAAUAGUUCAGCUAGAUUUAUUUAGCUAGUAUUAUUGAAAUGGAGUAAUAUGAACAGUGAUCAUCAAAGCAAGGUGCAUUGUCAGUCUCGCUGUUAUCGUCAUCAGCAAUACAGGGGCUUUCCUUUUUCUGCCCAUCUUUAAACAGUGCACUUCAUGAUGUCACGAUGAUGUCAUUUGACUGGGUUACUUUGCCAUUCAUCCUGUGAGGGCCAUGAUUCACACUCGAUUAAAUUCCUGCUUUUAUUUCAAGGCAGGCCAGCACAUUUGAAGCGUCAGCAAGGCGACGGCAGUGAGACAGGGUCUGGUGGAGGUCCAUUCCACAUGGCACAACCCGAACUCUCUGUUCAUGUGCCACACCUUUCUCGAGUUCCUGCUGGUUAAUGUGUUUUUAUAAAGCUAACCCCAUCCACACACUCCAGGUCUACACUACUCAGCAAGAUUCCAGGACUAAGCUAACGACAAUGUGGCUAAGUUUCUAGCUGGGCAAACGACUACAUGGUUUCUUGCCUGUAUCUUAUUUGAGAGUUUAAUCCUAAGGUAUGCAUGGACUGUGGUAUAAGGUUAUUUUGAACACAUAAAACCAAUAAUGCCAAAGCAACUAUAAA